rnacentral:snRNA from 1 species
GGAUGUUAGAAUGAUCUGGCUCUGAUAUCUGUCAUUCCAACAAUAACAUUGUAGUUCUGCCUAUUUGGCUGUUAGUUAGUCUAACCCAUUCUCUCCCACUACUUUGGGUAUAUUGCUUCCAAAGCUUGGUAUUUGGUGAAGAAGACAUUGUCAGACAAAGAUCCUACCUCAGAAAGAGCACAUGAGCAUCUGUACUCUCUUGCUGAAACUUCUAAUGGUCAUCACAGGGCAUAUUUGAGCAAGAGAAACUGUAAAAGCUUUUAACCCAUGGUCAAUAAAACCAGAUCCUGCCUUUGAUU